UACGUAGGUGACCAGCGUUGUCCGGAUUUACUGGGCGUAAAGAGCGCGCAGGCGGUCGUUCAAGUCGAGUGUGAAAGCCCCCGGCUCAACUGGGGAGGGUCACGCGAUACUGCUCGACUCGAAGGCAGGAGAGGGAAGUGGAAUUCCCGGUGUAGUGGUGAAAUGCGUAGAUAUCGGGAGGAACACCAGUGGCGAAGGCGACUUCCUGGCCUGUUCUUGACGCUGAGGCGCGAAAGCUAGGGUAGCAAACGGG
rnacentral:rRNA from 1 species